GAUCAGUUUACCCAUAAAUAUGUAAUUCAUUUACCCAUAUUUGGGUUUUGUAUGCAUAACCUAUUUUAUGGGUAAACUAUACCGAUAAAUAUAGGUAAUAUUUACUCAUAUUAUGAUCAAAGUGGCUUUACCCAUAUAUGGGUAAGUUCUAUUUACCCAUAUUUGGAUGAAAAAAUAAACAUAAUUAUUGAGCGGUAACACUCGCGAUUUGUACGUGUUUUUUUUUCGCGGAUGAAGUUUUUCAAGUUUUAUAAAAUAAGUUUUUAUUGUUUAGUCCUUGGUGAUAGUUGUGCAAUACACGGGCCAAACAAUUGAGUUCUAGGAUUUGGAUUUAUGUUGAAUAUUUAAAAGAAUUGUACGAGGUCCGAACUGAUCCUUCUCCGGCGUGGCGGAACCAAAUUUGGCAUCCCCGUUUUUGUUAAAAUAGCCACCGACAGAAAACCCCAUCCAGAACAGAAGUAUGCCCGUCUAUCUUCAGUGAGAACCGGUACAAAAUCUUCAACGAUAAUGAAGGAAUUGUCGGCAACUUUUUGGUGAGUUCCAGCCGAAUUGGAAGUGUCUCUACCAAAUAAGUCCAGGACAAGGCGAGGGCCACACAAGGAACGUACGAUUCAGCGGAACAGCAGCAUUGCUGAUUUUGAUUCCGAGCGUCGGGGAAUUACCAGAUGCAGUCCAGUACAGUGGAAUUACCAUCCGGAGCAGAAGUGUCUACGACUAAGAUCCUCACUUCGGUUCGACGGAACAUCUUCCAGUCCGGCGGAACAAAAGUAUCCCCAUCGACACCUGCUCCUAUGACUGAAACGUCCAGCCAGGCGGAUCAAUCCGUCGCGACGGUAGCAAAAAAACUGUUGCCGAACUUUCCGGCGAAUUCAAGGCCGAAUUUUAUGUGAACUACUCUCGAAAAAGUCGUCCAGUGCGAGGCGAGAACCACGCUAGAAACGAUCGCAUCAGCAGCAUUUCCGUAUUCGAUUCCGAACGUCGAGGGAAUUAUUCGAUACAGUCCGGUUCGAACCGACAAUUUCUGUUGUCCGGCGUAACUAAAACAUCCCCGUCUACAUCUCUUUCUUUGAUUAGACCGUCCAGCCUGGCGGAACAAUCCGUCGCAAUGAUAGCCAAGGAACUGUCGGCAACUUUCCGACGGAUUACAGAGUCCGAGGCCGAAUUAGAAGUGAACCUCAAUCGAACAAGACGAGGCGAGGGCGAGAACUAUGCUAGAAACGAUCUCUUCAGCAUUUCCGAAUUUGAAUCCUAACGUCCAGGCAAUUACCCGAUGCAGUGCAGUACAGCGGAAUAAUGAUCCGGAGCAAAAGCACCUACGACAGAGAUCAUCACCCCGGCUCGAAGGAACAACCUCCCGUCCAGCGGAACAAAAGCAUCUUCGUCUACAUCUCUUCCAAAAUGGGAGCACUUUGCUUAAAAUUGGUAUCAUUACUCUAAAUAAACGAGAGACAAAAAACAUUUUUUUUCAUGUUUUCUUCAUGAUCUUGAUCCGAUAUGAAAGAAUUGGAACCUGAUUUCAUUGAAACUUCUCCCUAGUAAUUAUGAAGCAGCAUUUUUUACCCAAAUAUGCGUAAAGUUUACUCAAAAUCGAAAAACUCAUAUAUGGGUAAAUAUUACCUAUAUUAAUCGUAGACACAUAAUACCCAAAUAUGGGUAAAGCCCCUUUACCUAUAAAAUGCGAAUGUGCACUUUUCGACGA